ACUAAUAAAUUAAUAAUGGCUAUCACUAACUAUUCUUAAACAUUGAAAUUCCAAUACUGUCGUUUCAUUUCUCUACUUGACACUUGACAGUGUUGUGUGUUGGUCUGACUGUCGUUUCUUUCUCCUCUUAUCAACUCAACUCAGUGAUCCGACUCAGUCGAUGGCACUGUAAAUCCGUAAUUAGAGAGAUAUCUGUCAACAAAGCUUCGUUAUGGUGGGUCCAACUUUAAAAUCUGCACGAAGAACAGAAAUAGCUUCGUGCCGGUGAGACCAAUUAAGGCAAUGUUGUUCUAUUGCAAUAGACGCGCCGUCUUCUUUGACUGACGCCGGUGGAAUCCGACUGGGCUACACAAGCUUGCAGGAAGCUCGUGAAGAGAUGGAAGAUAAAGUAAUUAUAAGGUCUGAUGGUCUUGUUAACGAUUCUCUUUUGUUGGGGUUUUUGAUGGUCAUGGUGGUAUUGCUUCUGUCAAUUUUUGCAGUGCGUUGCAAUUAUCAAUUUGAGAGAAUGAUAUAUCGAGAAGCUUGAUAUUGGAUUAUCUCUUAUUUCAUAUCUGAUCAUUCUAGUCCCAUUGCACAAUCCAUUUGAUGCGUCUAGAUUUCGCAGUAGCAUGAUUGGACAGUUCAGUUUGAGCUGUAAUGUGUGUGGAGGUAUCUCUAUAUUGUCUUCAUCUGUUGUCGGCUCUUCUCCAUUCCCAACUCUCAAUAAAAAUUCACUGAAAGGUAACACCUGUCUGAAAUCACCUCCAAACACCAAUAUUUUUCCUCCAAAUUGGUCAGGACCAUCUACAAAGAAUACACCUUUUCCGUUCGAGUUCAGCCUAUCCAUAAUGACAGUGUAUGCAUAUUUUUGCUCGGUGUUCAACUUUGCGGCUGCAUCAAUGUCUUCUUGAGUAGUACUCUCGGCAUGAUACAUUUGAUGGAUUUGGUCGACUUACGCCUGAGGUAAACAUUAAGAUAUGCAUAAAAUGUAAGUUAAUUAAUCAUAAACUAUAAUAUUUGCAUUUUUUCAUAUACAUAGAUAUGGAUGUUGCGUACCUUUUUUUUCUUGCUGAAUAAUUGUUUUUGCAGACAUGUUAGAUGGGAAAGUGCUGCUGGUUUUGGUCCUUAUUGCUGUUCUAUUGUUCUUUUCAACUGGUUUAACAAUCUUUCGAAUAUCUUGGUGCCAUCCACGUUGUCCUCUUGGAUGAAGUAAUGGGUAUUGUAAUGGAUCAUAACAUCCAAAGAAGUAUUUUACUCUAUAUCUAUGUCCUGAGUGAGCUUGUACGAUAAUCUCUCUAUCCAAUGGAAGAUUUGGAUUGUUUCCUUCUACCCAAAUACCAGCUACGUCUUCUUCUGUAGGGGCAUUAUAUUGUUGUUCUUCUCUUGUAUUUCUCUUUUUAAUCCAUAUAUUGAGUUCGUCAUAUGAACCGUAGUCAUUUAAUUUUCUAAAUACUUUGGAAUAUGGAUUAUCAUCUAGAACUUUUAUAAGGUGGUUUAUGACAUUCUCUGAUAGCUCCACAUGCUUGAUUGUAUUCUUCCUAUUUUGUAGCUCGUUAUUGCAGUCAUAGAAAUAUAGCUGGAAAUAUCUUGGAAUUCCAUCAUUUGGUAUUAAUUCUGGCAAAUCAUGAUAUAUUUGUCCUAAAGCUUUAAAAGUUGAUACUCCGUUUCUGUUUGAUAACAGGUCUCUAUCCAGUUUCACUCCUAAAGAUGUGUAUGCGAACAGGAAGUUUAACCUUUCCAUUUUGGCAGCAAAAGAAUGGUGGCUCAUGCUCGAACCUUUUAGCUUCACAGUACUUGCAAGCUGAUGGAGAACUCGUUGCUUAUGAUAGAUCCGCGACUGAAAUCCAAGGUAAUAGAUUCUUCUAUUAUUUGGAUAAUCCAUUAGAAAGUAUUGUUUUGUUUAGAGAUGAAAAUGAAGUAAAUAAGGCUUCUGAGUUCUGAGAAGCUCGCUUUAUCUGCACAGAUUGUUUAAACUGAUGCAAGAAGUUGCAAAAAUUGAUUAAAUCAUAAUUUGAUCUCAGAGUAAUAUAUAACAAAUGUUUAUUA